CAGGAAGAGAAACAGCGGACACGGGUUAAAAAGAGUCAAAGAAUGAGCGAGUCGUUUCACUACUCAGCAGCGCUGACCUGAGAAGGUCAGAGCUCAAGACAACAGGAGACAGUGAUGCUCACACGUAUGGGGUGCCGAAUGUAAAAGGAGCACCUAUACAUUUAACUAAAUGACACAACAUGUUUUCUCACAUUUAGCUAAAUGUGCAAAAGUCUAACUGUAUAUGUUAAAUAUACAUGUUAAUGUUAAACGUAAAAUGAUCGCCUGAAUAUUUAGGUAGACUCCACCCCCUAUGAUCCUAGAUCAUAGGGGGUGGAGUCAAUUGUCUCUCUAAAAUCACCAGCUGGUGUGAAUUUGUUAAAUUGGCCCAAGACUAUAUAAAAAUCUCCAAAGGCUGCUCAAAUUGUGGUAGUGUUUAGUAGUAGUAAAUUGAUAGCACAAGUGAAAUAAAGACAGAAAUUAAGAAAAUCAAAAUGGAUCCCACAACUGUGAAGUCCUUGUGCUUGAAAUCAAGGAGUUUCCUGACGGCUUGACAAAGCAGGAAUGUUGUGUGAAGAAGAUCAUCCAAUUUUGUUCUAAAGGGUAAGUAAUAAAUCUGGUUCUAUCAAUUGUCAGUCUACAGUUUGUCAAAUUACAGGACCAUUUUAGAAUGAUUUUCCAUAUGUUUUAGAUGGAGCUCUUCAUUACAUUUUUAAAAGGAGACAAGGCAAAAUGGAGCACCUUGCCUAAGUUGUGCUCACUGCAACAGAGGCAAAUUCCUUAUUUGAAGAGUUCCACUCUAGUAACAUUGGUAUGUGUGUGUACAUUUGUGUGAAUGUCACUCUGUUUUAGGUUUCCAGUGCCCAGAUUGUCAAGCAAAGCUGGCCAGUGUUAAAGAAAACACUCAGUACAAUCCUAUAGAGAGGAGAGAAUGCCAGCCAAUCUGAAGAAAACAUGAUGUCGAUGUGAUUCCCCAUCUCCCAACAGGACAAAUGCCCUGCUCCACAGCUUGGCGUGACUGCAAAACAACCUCAUUAUGGCCUCAUUAUGUAUUAGACCGCUCUGGUGUACGGAGUAAUCUUGUGAUGUAUAUGUAUGAAUAUAACAUAUUAUAUGUAUACGUAUAAUCUUUGUUUUGUUUGAAGAAAUGUUUGAGUACACCUGAUAUUUCCAUGGAAAUAUUGUACUGCCUUGUUUGCUUUUUCCCCAUUUAUAAACAGUAUUUUUUGUGUAGUAAUAUGCAUUUGAAGUUCUUGUUAUUGAGUUCCGACGUUAUUAGAAGGAAUAUCUUUUAUAAGACCUUCUGUAUAACUUGCACGCGGCGCUAAUAAUUUCUGAUGCGUUUUCUUGUACAUAACACACUUUAACGUGUGAUCAGUCUGUCAACCUGUGUGGCAUCUGUAUCCAGAUGUAUGAAUGAGACCUGCUACUGGCUCCUCCUCCAAAACACGACACAAAAGAUGAGUUAAAACAUGUGAUCUGACAAUGCAGUAACAACACACUAGGCCGCUGUAACGAGAACAGCUGCUGAUUUAUCAAAUGUAGAUGUCUUACAAAAAUCACUGAAUGUAACGUAACACCAGGGCACAGUGGUCACAAGUUAAUCUGACUUCCACGUUUCACAACUACUAUCUACGUAGAUGUUGGCCUAGAUUGUGGCUUUGGUUGCUUUUGGCUGCAAUGGCUGCGGGAUCAAAUAUCUUUGAAUGGGAUUUUUUGCUAUCGUCAUAGAAUGUUUAUGAUUUGUAGUUAUUAGCGAAUAAUGGCAUACAAGACUCCGAUGACAAGAGGCAAAGGUUCCGAAUUUUACAUUUUAUUGACAAAAAGAUCGUAGCAAUAACGGCAGGCCAAUUCUGUCCUUAUUUCCUUUAGCUACUUCCGUAUCUACAACACGAGCAACGAUCAAAUGUAAGUGUCAGAUAACGCCUUGUGAAACUGUAAAGAUUGUUUAGAACGUGCACAGAGGAAUAAACUAUGAUAAAACAUA